UUUUGUGUUUGACGUAUAUCUUUUCGAAGGGCAAUCAAAAGAUCGGACUCAGGUUGUAGGAUCAGAUCUGGUUAUGGCGGAGGCGUUGGAGGAGAGUCUACAAUGACCUCAGGGACAGGUAUGACCUUAGGGGCAGGGAAGACAGGUGUUGGGUGACGACGUUGAUAUGGUUGAAGUGGUCGAGAAGUGGGGGGUCAGGAGUCAUAGACUGAUGGGAGAUAAUGUAGUAGGGACAUUAAUAACUGUCAGAAAAUGUGUGUGAGUACUUUCUUGAAUGGGUUAUGGAGUUACGUGACUAUACUCGAAAUAUGG
rnacentral:lncRNA from 1 species